CGGGACGGGUGAGUAACGCGUGGAUAACCUGCCUCACACUGGGGGAUAACAGUUAGAAAUGACUGCUAAUACCGCAUAAGCGCACGGUACCGCAUGGUACAGUGUGAAAAACUCCGGUGGUGUGAGAUGGAUCCGCGUCUGAUUAGCCAGUUGGCGGGGUAACGGCCCACCAAAGCGACGAUCAGUAGCCGACCUGAGAGGGUGACCGGCCACAUUGGGACUGAGACACGGCCCAA
rnacentral:rRNA from 1 species